UACGUAGGGUGCAAGCGUUUAAUCGGAAUUACUGGGCGUAAAGCGUGCGCAGGCGGCUUUGCAAGACAGAUGUGAAAUCCCCGGGCUUAACCUGGGAACUGCAUUUUGUGACUGCAUGGCUGGAGUGCGGCAGAGGGGGAUGGAAUUCCGCGUGUAGCAGUGAAAUGCGUAGAUAUGCGGAGGAACACCGAUGGCGAAGGCAAUCCCCUGGGGCCUGCACUGACGCUCAUGCACGAAAGCGUGGGGAGCAAACAGG
rnacentral:rRNA from 1 species